UAUGACGAUGACCACACACGACGAUAGCGCGACGUAUGAGAGACAUACUUUCGACGACCGAUUAGUUAGGAAUGGAGUGAGGCCACCACCACAAGUGAGUAGACGAGCUGAGGGAGGGAGGGCACGAGAGAUAGUGGGUGAGGGGCUUCCACAACAUCAAAAGGGCAAAAAACACUUUCACACAUCCGUCGCCGGCUAAGCUCGCAAACGUAAACGAACUUGAGUUGGAACUUCUCCGACGAGUACAACCAAUUGGUCUCAAACCAUAUCGUCUUUUGCUUCUACUCACCGCAUUCUCGAAUUUCCUCUUUUCUGUGACGCGUGGCAAAAAUUUCCCCCUUAAUUUCGUAUUUUAGAUGAGGUUCCGUUGAAGUUUUCUCCCCUCGUUCUGUUCUUCUGCCAUCGAUGGAACACACAAGUGUAGCGUGAAAAAAAAAAAAAAGAUUACUUACUCAGACGAACCACCACUCUAUUGGAUAAUAUCAAAGUGCGUUCAAAAUGGAAGAAGGCGUAAGGAGAUGGGUAGUGGACAUAUCAAAGUGGGACCCACACCCCUCUCACUUCUCCUUCGCUCUCUCCCUCCUUCCUUCCCACGAGCACUCCUCGGUCACCAGGUUUGUUAAAAUGGAAGAUAGGAAACGUGCACUUGUUAGCCGCAUGCUUCAGUAUGUUCUUGUCCAUGAUGUGUUGCAAAUCCCAUUUCCUGACAUUGUCAUAAAACGAACUUUGGAAGGCAAACCCUAUUUGGAUUAUUAUGAUAAAUUUGAUCUUAGAUUCCCAAAUUUUAAUUUCAAUGUAUCUCAUCAUGGUGACUAUGUGGCCAUAGCAUCUGAACCUGUAUGUCUUGUGGGGGUAGACAUUGUCUCCUAUGAUGUUCCACAGGGAGAAACAACUACAGAAUUCAUUCAAUUCUUCUCAUCAUACUUUUCAAGUCUGGAAUGGGAUAACAUAGUCAAUUCAGGCACUUUGAAUGAUGUAUUGACGGAAUUUUACAGGUAUUGGAGCCUUAAAGAAGCAUAUGUUAAAGCUAUAGGGAGUGGACUUACUGAAGGGCUGAAUAAAGUGGAAUUUUCUCACACAAGAUGGACAAAUAUAUCAGCUAAAGUGGAUGGGAAGACCAUGACAGAGUGGAGAUUUUGGUUGUUCGAACUUGGGGAUAGACAUUGUGUAGGUUACUAAGUUCCUCAUCAACUUCUUUACACCUUGACCAUUACGAGUCAUUCCUUUUUCAUCCAUGAAGUUAAAAUCUGGUAUUCUCUUACAAAUUUGUGGCAUAAAUUUUCCUUUUGCAUCUACUGAAUGAUGGAUCAUACAGUUCUACAACAUUAGUAUUUUAGAUUUCUAUGGCAAAGACAUCCAUGUUGCUGGAAUUUAAACUGGUACAAGUGCUGAAUAACAAAGCUAGUUCAAAACGGAAGGAUUUCCAAAGUCAACAUAAGGAGUAUUUUGGGCAUAUAUCUAACCGAUACGAGAUCUUAACAAAUAUUAGGCUCUCAUAGCAUAACAUAUCCUAAAAGCUUGAGCUAUUUGAUGAAGACACAAAUGGAUUUCUAUUACAUUUCUAACAGCUACAACAGUAACUUUCAUGUUUCAAUUGCGAGAGUUCACCCAAUAUCAGCUACUACGAGUUACAAAACAACAUUGAAAAAAGUGGACUUUACUGAAGAGGAAUAUACUCUAGGUCUUCAUCUUCCAAACGUAGGCAUUGUUAAACUAGAUGUAGA